rnacentral:lncRNA from 1 species
GGCAAUGCCUUUCAAAGGAGGGCAUCAAGUGAACCUCAAGUUUAUUUAAAGCGUAAGCUUCCUUGCAGGUGUGUAUAAUUAUACCCCAACUCCAAAAUGCGGUUCCGAUGAGAGGGCGUGCCGGGUGCACGCGGGCAGCAGCUUGUCCUGGGAGGUGUACUAGCUUCCUGUGGCUGCAAGUUACUACAAACUGGGUGGCUGGAAACAACAGGAAUUUCUUCUCUGACGGUUCUGGAGGCCAGAAGUCUGAAAUCAAGGCGUUGUCAAGGGGGCCGCCAUUCGAUCCACUACGUGAGGCAGUAAGAAGCAUAUUCCCGAAGGAAUUGUUGAAAUAUUGACGGACUUCAGAGCUCCGUGAGCUGGGCGGACUCACAUGGCUGGUGUCCAUGCUAUGAGGCGAGUGGGGCCCGCAUGCUCUACGCCCUGGAAUGCCGCUCCACCCACCUCAGUUACUCAUGGAAAUUAGAAGGAAUGGGCUUCGUUACACCAUUGUGAGUUUUUCAAAUGGGAUUCCACUUCAGUUACAUUAUGACAUGGAGGCAUUAUGAAAAGUUACUGACAGAAGGAACACACGUGUGAAGAAGGAUGCUCUGGAUGGAAUUUGAUUCUCUUCCAAUAUUUGAAUGUUGAACAUGGACCCUCUCAGUUCACCUGCCUAAUCAAUAAAUAUCUGUCCUGUGCAGCUGUGGAUUUCUGGCCAUAUGAGCCUCCAUUAGGAGAUGCCCUAUCCUAGUAGAAUGCUGGUAAUGAUUUCUCUCAUUCAGUCCUAAAAGUGGUGGAUUUCAUGCACAGAGAAGCUGCCAGGUGUUACUUAGGGCAUCUUUAUUGGUCAUAGAAGCACCUACUGCUGACUCAGUGGGCAGGCUGGUGGUCACGUGCCUUUGAUCAGCAAGAGGGUGUAACUCACACGAAGACAGAAUCCGGAGGGAGCAGGGAGAAUGGAGGUGUGGGUAGGAAGGUUCUGGGAUGGCUUGGGGUUGGCUCUAAGGAUUGGGCCACGGCCUCCAAAGCCCGGCCUGAUGGAGGCAAAGAGAAGGAAUCGGCGCUCUGAACCUUUGAGAUCUAUAGACAUCAGGUCUCCUCUGGGAUCAAGGAUGCAGGAAAGUCUGAUGUAAUAAUAACAACCACCACCAUUUAUUGGGGCCUCUAUGUUCAGGAAUUUGCUAAACAUCUUAUAGUUUUAUUUCUUUUAAUCUUCACAGCAGCCCUGGGAGGUGGUAUCCUAGUCAGGGCUCUCUCAGUUACAAGAGACAAACUAGGUCAAGUUCAACACAGGGAGGACUGGACGUAUGUUGGGGUCACUUGAAGAACUGGAGGAAGAACCACAGAAACCAUGGCACCCCCAGGGGCCUGGGGACCAGAAACGAGAGCGGGUCACCAUCAGCACACGCCCCAUCUCUGCUCCCUCUAGACGUUGCCUUUUUUCUCUUUUACAGUGGAAAGCUCUUUUCAUACAACAAAACAGCAAGCAGCUUUGGCUUCCAUCAUGCAGUUUCUCCAGUUGUCCAUCUAGAAAAAAAUUCUGGAGAAUUUAGCCCUGCUUGCAUCUGGGGCCCAGUCCCAGGCCAGUUCCUCUGGGCAGAGGGGUGGCCCGUCUAGACCAUGUGCCCACUCAAUGAAAGUUGGGCCCAUUCGUGCAAGAAGGGAUGGAAGGUUCUGGAAAAAGCAAAGUAGCGGUAGGUAUUGCUCUCCCCUUGGACGGAUGGGGCAAUGAGGCUCGGAGAUGUCAUGCGCCUUUCCAGGCAUUUGAACCCAAGUAUAUUUGGCUCCACAUCUUGGCUCUUAACCCCAUCCUGGUGCUGCCUUGCCCAAUGCCAGCUGUGGAUCCCAGGCAGAGGCUCAACAUGACCACGGGAGGGCCUGUUUGGGAAUGAAUGGAUGAGAACAGGUGCUAUAUUCAAUAUAUUUUGCAUGGGCAUUGCAUUAAUUUCCUAGUGCUGCUGGAACAUAUCGCCACAGACUAAUUAGCUAACAGUUCUGGGGGUCGGACUUCCCCAAACCAGUCCAACAGGGCUAAAAUCACAGUGUCAGUAGGACUGAGUUCCUUCUGGAGGCUCCAGGGGAGAAGUCAUCCUUUGCCCUUUCCAACUUCUAAAGGCGCUUGCUUUCCUUGGCGCAUCUCCUUCUCUGACUCUGACCCACCUGCCUGCCUCUUAUAAGGACCUUUGUGACUAAAUCGAGCUCUCCUGGAAAGUCCAGAAUCCUCUCCAGGAUAACAUGUUGCCGUGUGAGGUAACAUAGCACAGGCUCUAGGGGUUAGCACGCAAACAUCUUUGGGGCCAUUAUUCUGCCCAUCGCAGGCAUUGGCCAAUCAGAGCAGAGGCGCUCUGUGCUGCUGAGGCAGGGCCUUAUGGCCCUCUGCUGUGCCAGGUGUUACAGAGAUAGUUGCUAGCUCGUUGGGGGAUCUGGGCAGAGGGAACAGGGAGCUUCAGGCAGUGGCUCUCAGCCAACUGACAUGGAAAUAUUUCAACAGUAACGAGUGGCAUCGUGGAACUGCUGAGUCCCAGCUGAGGGUCAGCCUGGGUGACAUUCGAUUGAGGGGUGUCAUGGAGUGCAGCAGCCGACACUGGCAGCAGGUGGGGGUGCUGUAGGGUGGGGAGCGAGCACUAGAACCUGCGGAAAGAAGGGUGGUGCUGGGUCUGGGCAAGGCUUGCGCUGCUUCACCUGGGACCAGGGAGAGGGAGCCAGGCACAUCCCAGAGCUCGAGGGUUCGGGGGCUUGGCGAGGUCAGUCGUGGCUUCAGGUUGGGUCCACGCGGCCAGAUCUGGCCAGUGGAGGCAGAGGGAAACGAGAGCAAGGGGCUCUGGAUGGCAGAGAGACCACCCCAGAGAGACCCACUCUUCUGACGCUUGAGAUCAUCUCAAGAAGGAAGCUCCCUGGGGCAGGCGGCUUAGGUACUUAGUCAACAGAAGGGCCCGUGGGUGAGAAACAAAGAAACCAGAGAGCGAUCUCUGCGUCUUACAAGAAGAGCAUCCUCCAGGGCCGGCCCAGUGGCUGAGUGGUUAAGUCUGCACGCUCCACUUUGGCAGCCUGGGUUUGCCGGUUCAGUUCCUGGGCGUGAACCUAUACAACGCUCAUCAAGCCACAUUGUGGCAGCAUCCCACAUUGAAGAACUAGAACGACCUACAACUAGGAUAUACAACCAUGCACUGGGGCUUUGGGGAGAAAAAAAAAAAGAAAAAGAGGAAGAUUGGCAACAGAUGUUAGCUCAGGGCCAAUUUUCCUCAAAAAAAUAAAUAAAUAAAUAAAAAAGGCAGAGCAUCCUCCAAAAGAGAGAGACAGCCUCCCCCUCUGAUGGUGUGGGAUCCUCCAUCGGCCUGGUUUGUCAGCCCCACCAGGAUCCAGGGAACCCCAUGCCUUCCCCAGGGCACUGGAACCGGAGCUGCCGGGAAAGGCCCAGGCCUGGGGUUGUGGGGAAGAAACGGAUUCUACAGAAGGCCCUGGGCUGGAAGGCUCUGACCUAAGCACGUCCAUGUUCUUAGAUUUCCUGGGACUCAGGCAGGGCCUGCUUCAUGGGCGGGCGACCAUGUGGUUGCACAGGCUUUGUGCUCAGAAGGGCCUAGAAUGGACUGGAUAGUGUCCCCUGAAAGAGACACCUCUAUCCUAACCCCCAGGACCUGUGAACGUGAGCUUAUCUGGCAAUAGGGUUUUUGCAGAGGUCAUUAAGUUAAAGAUCUUGUGAUGAGAUCAUCCUCGAUGUGGGGGCCACCAAAUCCAAUGACUGGUGUCCUUGUAAGACACAGGGGAGGGGAAUUUGAGAUGCAGAGACACACAGACAGAAGGGCCCUGUGAAGACCGAGGCAGAGAUGGGAGCGAUGCAGCUGCAAGCCAAGGAUCGCCAGCAGCCACCAGAAGCAAGAGAGAAGCGUGGGACGGAUUCUCCCUCAGAGUCCUGGCAAGGAACCGGCCCUGCCAACACCUUGGUCUCAGACUUCCGGCCUUCAGAACUCAAGAGAAUAGAUUGCCGUUGUUUUAAGGCACAUGGUUUGUGGUGAUUUGUUACGACAGAGUUAGAAAACUAAUCCAGGCCCCACACUUGGUUUAAUGUCCUGCUUGGCCGCUGUCUCAAAAUUCUUAAUGCUUCUGACCCAGGGCCCCACAUUUUUACCUGGCUCUGGGUCUUGCAAAUGUAUAGCUGGCCCUGAGCUUGGGUUUCCAUGGGAAGUAAUAACGGUAUGCCUGCCCUCCAAACCUGCUCAUCACUCUCUCUGGGUGGCAGUGAAAUGGCUCUCCAGUCAACAGCAGAGGGCCCUGUGAUAACCGCCCUGGAAUAGCUAACCGGAAGCCCCUUUGCGUUCUUUCAAGAGGAACUUAGGCCCAUCCAGAGAAGAAUGGGUUUUUGAAAGCCCCAAAGCCAUCCAAGUGCGUGCCCAGGGGUCAUGUGGAGGAGAUCAAGGCCCUCCCGGUUUCUGACGGUUCAACCGCCUUAGCCGUGUGCACAGACCAUCCCGGGAGCGUGGCCGCUCUUUCUGCCUUACACCCGAGACUUGAUGCCCAGGGCUGGUGGAAGGAGCCAGAGGCACCCCUGCCUGUCGCUGUGUGCUGAGUUAUGCAGGGUCUCAUGAGUGUGUGUUGUUCCUUCUAAGAAGCCCAAGGAGCAUUUUCUUAUGGUGUUUUUGUAGUUAUUCUUUACCGAAAAGAUGCAAAUGAUCCAUUUUCUUUCUGUGAGUGAGACACUAGAAGAGUCUCUGUGUGAGAGCCGGUUCUCAAAAUGACUAAUCUGUUCAUUGGAAUUUGGUUCCUGAGUAGGGUGGCUUUUCCUGAGUUCUCUCCAGGAAAUUGCUAUGACCAGUGGCCUCUCCUACUACAGAAUCAACGUCACUCCCUCGCCCCACCUGAGUCACCGUGCUCACUGAGGUGAAGCUGUCCUGCCCUUCAGAGAAGCCCCAGGUCCCAGAUUACCGAGGAGGCCACAGGUAGGCAGUACCCAGCCAAAUUUAGGGCUACCUCGUUUCGUCCAUCUAAUUCCCUGUGAGCGUCCAGUCACCUGCACCAAGCGAGAUUCCUCCUGACUUGUGAGUCUGGCAGGUUACCAAAGCUCAGAGUCUGCAUAGACUCUGCACUAGGUUUCUUCCACAAGAGCGUAUUCUUGUGAAAUCUAAACCAAAAGGGAGAGCUGGCAGACAGGAUAUUUUUCUCUAGACCCGUGACUUAACUGUUAGCCAUGAAGUGUCCUGGAUUUAAUGAAAUGAUGUUCCCAGCCUGGGUCCCCUUGGUGCCCACCGCAAUGGCUUUCUUCGUGAGAUGGGGAGAGGAAGAUGCACAAGACCCCAGACCAUAAGUUCUGAUCCUGAUGUGUGUGAGUUCAGACUGUGCCUUCCGUGGUCCUGUAGAGAAAGCAUCAUCUGAAGAGUGAAGUGUUCACAAACAGAUGCUCAUAAGUUGGGUGUUAGAGAAGGACUCAUGCCCUAGGAUGAAACCAGAUUGGAUUAGCCCAGCGAAACUUCCAAUUCUAAAAUUCUAUGCUUCUGUGUAGUCCUAGAGACCCAUUAUGUCAGACUCUCCAACUUGUGGCAAAUUGGUCAACGCACAACCUUUGAUUCUAAUUUACAUGGCAACCCUACUUACCCUCGAGUUUGGAAAUAAAAUGAGCGUACCCUCUAAUGUUGUUACCCGGGUAAUUUCUGCCUUCAUGUGUAGCCCAGGAUUCCUCAGUCUUUAAACCAUCAAUUAUAUGUCCUGAUUCCAGACUAGAAUGUAAUCAAUACUUACUUAUUCGGGCAAGUGUCUACCCGCAGCUUGCUGAGCCUAGCAAGUAAAAUAUUUACGACCUGAC